GUGACGAAACAUACCGACACUCCCACUGUCGAGACUCGAGAAUCAUUACGUAAUCAAUUAAUGUUCCUAUAUAGUAGCCAAUGAUUAUUAUUUUUUAAAUUUCCAUUUAAAAAAAUAACCAAAAUUAAAAAAGUCGUCAUGAAAACAGCAAUAUUAUAUGAUAUAGGUCAACAUUUAUGUAAGGAUGACAAGAAGAAACAUAAUUCAAACCACAACAAACAACUCGGCGCCAGUGUUAACAUAUUCUACUUACUAUGUAAAGGUGGACGUGUGAGGCGGCCUCCACUUCGGACAUAAUGAAGCACCUCUAAGUUUGUACGAGCUGGAUAUGGUUGUUGGCCAAGGGUUAGGAUUUCCCAUAACAAUACGCCAAAUGCCCAAACAUCAGAGUGACUUGUAAAUACUCCAUCUACAAGAGAUUCAGGGGACAUCCAUCUGACAGGUAAUAAACCCUCGCCCUGGAAAUGAGAAAGUGUUUAGGAGUACCUGAGAUAACAUACCCCUCUGCUUGUGCGGAGAUAUGAGAGUAGAUCGCCCCCCUCCAUCAGCUCCAGAAUAAGGAAGAAAGGAUCAUGAUCAGUGCAGACAGCCAAAAGUCGCAAUAUAUGUUCAUGC